GCACCGCAGCGGCAGUGGUCGCUGCAGUGGUGGCGCUCGCUCACGCGGCAGGGCAGGGCAAGGUGUAUUUUUGCUUUGGUGGGUGAGUGGGUGGUGCGUUAAGGGGAGGGGAGAGGUCCAGAGGAGGGCUUUGGGGGUUAAGCUUUUAGCUAAACCCCUAAAGCCGCAGGGUCUAGGCGAGGAGGCCGGCCAAGCGAGCCGGCGUGCAGGCUAGGCGCAAGCGCCGGCGGCAGCCUCGACGACUGGCCGGGCGCCGAGCUAAGCAGGCCCCCUAAACAACGCCCCCGAGAGCGAACGAGGGCUACCGCAGCAGGGGCCAGAGGAUGACCACGAUGGUGACGUCGGCGAAGCACGCCCAGAGGGGCCGGUGGCAGCAGACGGGGCUGACGCUGCCGCCGAAGGAGCUCGUCAAGGGCGUCGGAGGCGGCGGCGCGCCGCCGCCGCCGUCGCCGGCCGCGCCCCGGUACUUGGGCCACUAGCACGACGCCCCGCCGAGCGAGAGGCCGAAGCUCGAGAUGAUGCUCCUGCCGAGGCCGCUGCCCGACGCCGGCGACGGGCCGCUGCAGAGCGUGGAGGAGUACCCCAGCCCCAAGGUGGCGGACGAGCUGGUCAAGAGCUCCGACCUCCGACGGCGCGGCGCGGGCGGCCGCAGGUUCCGGCGCCACCUCAGCUACGGCAGGCACUGCCAGCGGCCCCCUCCGCCCCGGGUGACGCGCCACACGGUCCUCCGGAAGCUCGGGCCGCGGCGCCGAGCCCUCUACGGCACGUUCGUGCAGAUGGUGGUCCUGACGUAGGAGGGGACCGAGAGGGAGGCGUUGAGGACGGGGUAGACGGCGUCGCUCGAAGGCCGCCGUCGGCACGGACUCCGCCUCCGCCUACGGCCCGAGUGGUAGACCGCUGAGGGGGCGCCGCCUAAGCGGCAACCUUCCAAGCGGCCGCCCGGGUCUCUCGUUGACGGCCAACAGAUGUGCCUCGACCUACCACCAAAGUCGUUGCCGCAGCCCGGCUCCGCCCACUGUACCGGUCUUCCUCUUCCCGUCCACCUGCCGCCGCUUCCAGCCUAAGCGGCACAUAAAUCCUUGGACAAACCCACGAAACCGGCCCCGCCGGCCGGACUCUCAAGGAGCGUCAGGGCAUCACCGACUCGUUACAAGAAGGACCAUUGAGUGAAAGUUAACUACUAUCACCACUUAUUCAUCCUCAAUCAUAUUCCUCCUUUGGGGUCCACCACUCAAUAACCAAUCAAACUACAUUUACUUCCCGAACGUAAGGGGUGGAAAACAGAGCAAAAUUCUUAAGUCUCAACCGGUACUCGUUUGAUGAGUCUUUACUUUAAACUAUCGUUUAGUCCUUCUUGUUCGGGUUCGGAAAUUCUUACCCUCUCGUCACUUAAUACCCCCUUUAGUCAGUGACCGUUAUAAGAUCCGUUUCUCUUGUUAACCACAAGAGUGAAGACAUAACAAACACGUAUAUGACCUAAGCAAUUCUAUUUAAAGCUAAAACGUAAUACAACCAGGGUAUGUACUUUAAAGUUAUAUGAACCCAUGAAGAUAAAAAUAACAUAAUAAGGAGACCGAUUUGGAGAAAGAACAAAGUUGUAUUCUAUAGGAAUCAAGACAGUAUUCAACAUUGUUGGCGGCAGCUAAAUGAACAUCAACCAACUUAGAUCCCGACGAUUCACUACAAAACUAAAUAAAUAAAAAAC
rnacentral:rRNA from 1 species